AGAAAGUAAAAUAUUUUUUCCACCCCUGGUGGUAAUCUUAUUUCUUUAAGCUUUUGCAGUUGACUUCAUGCAAUAUGUAGCUUACUUUUCAUCCCCCAAUGCACUCGUUGUUGAAAAUUAAUAAUACAGCAUUGUUUAAUAGUUUUCAGCUAUCAUUCAGAUUUUCAAGGGUGGGGGAUUGCCCUCCUCCCACCCCCUAGAGUCUGCCACUGUUGAGGAGGGUGUUGUGUUGGCAGCAACAUCACCAUCUGGAGUAUAAUUAAGGAUUUGUGGAGGAUUAGUAGCACAAACACUGUAUAAUGGUCCAAACAAGCCGGGAAAAUAUAUUUCCCUGCAAGAUGUAUAGAAAUUUCUUGCGAUGAUUUUUGGUUAACAUUUCCUGGCAGCAUUCCCACCUUCAUUGUCACAUGCCGGACAGGACUGGUACCAGGCUUUUAGCCAGAAGGGCGUCCUGGGACGCCCCUAGAACAAAACAUGGACGACCAAAUUCUGGGGAAAAAAGGAAAUUAUUUUCAAUUAUUUCCCUAGGUAUAUUAAUUUAAUAUAUCUGAAACGAAAUAGCUUCAAUUCUCAUUAUUAUUAUUAUACAUUUGACACUUUGAUCAAGUUGAUGGUGUACUGAUAUAACUGUGUAAACUUACUGUGUAAACUUCAAAGGUUUUCCAGAGGAACGUUUUCUCGACCCCCCCCCCCUUUACUGUAGAUGUAUUGUGCCAAAAUUGGACGCCCUCUUUUAGGACCCUGGCUAAAAGCCUGACUGGUACCAAACUUCCUAAAGUAUAGUGCCUCAGUUGGCAAGAGUGAAUGUCAGUGGUAACUCUCAACUAAAUCUCUUUGUAUAUAUCUAACAUUUUAAAAGUGAUUUUUGUAAUUACACAUGUUUAGUCAAUUGUUGAUAUCAUACCUAUAAGAGACUCUGGCUUAGGCUAUUAGUCAUAAAUGGUAAUUUUUUGUGAUAUAUUUAUUAUUCAAUAACCAUACAUGUAAAUAUGCAAGGCAAUAAAUUGCAUAACAGACCACUUUCCCUGCUAAAUGAGGUAUGGAGUUUUUGUAAAUUGUAAAAAUGUGGUUAAAUGUGAAUUAAAUUUAAAAUAAAUUGCUAGAUGAAAUCACAUAUAUUUCCACUAUCCUAGAAUAAAUUAAAAGUCCAACAGCAAAAUUUAAGGACUUAUAAUCACUUCAAUUUGCAAAACCAGUUGCAUAGACAGAGGAAAAUGUGAUUUUAUAGCUAGUACUAGUAACAUCUAAU